GAUACUGGCUCAGGAUGAACGCUGGCGGCGUGCUUAACACAUGCAAGUCGAGCGAAGCACUUAAGUUUGAUUCUUCGGAUGAAGACUUUUUGUGACUGAGCGGCGGACGGGUGAGUAACGCGUGGGUAACCUGCCUCAUACAGGGGGAUAACAGUUAGAAAUGACUGCUAAUACUGCAUAAGACCACGGUACCGCAUGGUACAGUGGUAAAAACUCCGGUGGUAUGAGAUGGACCCGCGU
rnacentral:rRNA from 1 species